UUUGAUCAUGGCUCAGAAUGAACGCUGGCGGCGUGCCUAACACAUGCAAGUCGCACGAGAAAGUCUGCUUUCGGCGGGCGGAGUAAAGUGGACGGCACGGGUGAGUAACGCGUAGGUAAUCUACCCCCGGAACCGGGAUAACAGUGCGAAAGUGCUGCUAAUACCGGAUACGAUCUUUUAGCGGGAGCUGGAAGGUGAAAGUCGGCCUCUCGAAGAAGCCGGUGCUCGGGGAUGAGCCUGCGUCCUAUCAGCUAGUUGGCAGGGUAAUGGCCUACCAAGGCGACGACGGGUAGCUGGUCUGAGAGGAUGAUCAGCCACACUGGCACUGAAACACGGGCCAGACUCCUACGGGAGGCAGCAGUGAGGAAUUUUGCGCAAUGGGAGCAAUCCUGACGCAGCAACGCCGCGUGGGUGAUGAAGGCCUUCGGGUCGUAAAGCCCUGUCAGGUGGAGAAGUGUCCCGGACGUGAACAGGUUCCGGGAGUGACGGUACCACCACGAGGAAGCACCGGCUAACUCCGU
rnacentral:rRNA from 1 species